GCGUUUUAAGCAUGCAAGUCGGACGGUAGGGUGGUGCUUGCACUACCUGAGAGUGGCGAACGGGUGAGUAACACGUAGAUUAUCUACCUUUGGGAGUGGGAUAGCCUGUAGAAAUAUAGGGUAAUACCGCAUGAGGCCUGUUGAAGAGAUUUGGCGGGUGAAAGGAGCAAUUGUUCCGCCUGGAGAUGAGUCUGCGGUCCAUUAGUUUGUUGGUGGGGUAAUGGCCUACCAAGGCGAUGAUGGAUAGCCGGCCUGAGAGGGUGUACGGUCACACUGGGACUGAGACACGGCCCAGACUUCUACGGGAGGCAGCAGCUAAGAAUCUUCCGCAAUGGGCGAAAGCCUGACGGAGCGACGCCGCGUGAACGAUGAAGGCCGAGAGGUUGUAAAAGUUCUUUUCUUGGUGAAGAAUAAAUGUAUGAGUGGAAAGCGUACAAGAUGACGUUAGCCGAGGAAUAAGCCCCGGCCAAUUACGUGCCAGCAGCCGCGGUAACACGUAAGGGGCGAGCGUUGUUCGGAAUUAUUGGGCGUAAAGGGCGUGUAGGUGGUUUUAUAAGCCUGGUGUUAAAAUCUCUGGCUCAACCAGAGUCGUGCGCUGGGAACUGUGAGACUAGAGUUCAGGAGGGGAAGCUGGAAUUCCUUGGUGUAGGGGUGAAAUCUGUAGAUAUCAGGAAGAA
rnacentral:rRNA from 1 species